GCACAACGCGAAGAACCUUACCAAGGCUUGACAUACACGAGAACGGGCCAGAAAUGGUCAACUCUUUGGACACUCGUGAACAGGUGGUGCAUGGUUGUCGUCAGCUCGUGUCGUGAGAUGUUGGGUUAAGUCCCGCAACGAGCGCAACCCUCGUUCUAUGUUGCCAGCACGUAAUGGUGGGAACUCAUGGGAUACUGCCGGGGUCAACUCGGAGGAAGGUGGGGAUGACGUCAAAUCAUCAUGCCCCUUAUGUCUUGGGCUUCACGCAUGCUACAAUGGCCGGUACAAAGGGCUGCAAUACCGUGAGGUGGAGCGAAUCCCAAAAGCCGGUCCCAGUUCGGAUUGAGGUCUGCAACUCGACCUCAUGAAGUCGGAGUCGCUAGUAAUCGCAGAUCAGCAACGCUGCGGUGAAUACGUUCCCGGGUCUUGUACACACCG
rnacentral:rRNA from 1 species